GAGAAACCUAGGAAAGAAAAGAGAAUCCCUGGACCAAUUAUGUUCAGAGUUACACUUGUCACCAAAGCCAAUGAGCUUACGCAGGUGUAAAUAGAAACAGAAAUUGUCCCGCUUUAGCCAUUAAACAUGUUUCAUGGCUUAAACAUGGCUUUAAGUUUUGGCCAAAAUGGAAUUGUGUUGUAACUAGGUUCCUACAUGGUUGUAUUUAAGGACCUGUCUAUAUCAUAAAUUUAACCUUGUCAGGGAACCUGAUUACAAUAUAAUUGUCUCCCAAAUUAUAAACAUUGGUUGAGCAGAUAAGGUAGCGAUUAUUUUGUAAACGGGGUCCAAUUUAUACUACAAAUUGAAGCCUUACUUGCAACCAAGUUAGGGGAUAACCAUUGUAACCAGGUUCUCUGAUAGGCUUGUAUUUGUAUUGUAGACAUGCCCUUAAAUGGCAAUGCACUAAUCAUGAUAUUUAAAUACUUUAUUAUGUUGUAUGAAAUGGAGUUCAUACCUCCUUGAAGCGAAUGGUUUGGGGAAGAGGUGAAUUAUAGAGCUGGUUGUGAAUUUUUCAACUAAAGGAUUUUCCCUCAGAAAAUGCUGAUUUGUCAAAAGGUUUGUUUUGUCAGGAAAGUUUACCUUUCAAUAAAAAGGUGUCUGAGACCCAAGCUGGAAUUAAGAGACAGACCCACUCACCCUAGACUUGUCAAUAGACUAGUGCUCAGGGCACUCACUUAGGAUGUGGGAGACUUAAAUUCAAGUCCCUGUGCUCUCUGAUUUAGAACACAGGGCAGACCCACAUUCAAGUCAGUGUCCUAAGCACCAAGCUAUUGAAGAUUCUAGGGUAGGUCUCUCUUCCUGGCUUUUAACAAAAAUAUUGAAAGAAAGAAAACAAGUUCUGAAACAUCAACAUUUUUCAUGAAAUGAAAAUCUUGUUUUCUGGCCAGCCCUAGUGAAGUGAUAUUUUCUUUUUAGAUAUACACAGUUUAAGCUACGCUGAGUUAAAGAGGGCAAUCAGCCAUUGGUUUGCAUUGUAGUGAAAGAGACUCACUUUUGAGCUUACAUAGAGCUCUUCAAAUUUGCAUUGCAAAGUCUGUAUCUGUCAAUUGCUGUCUGCAGGUGGGAGCAUACUAUGAACAAAGGAGAAUAAAAGAAGCAAGUGUUACUGUAUCUCACUGGGAUUUAACAAGCAAUUUUAUGGUAUUGGGUUCAUCCAGCCCUCUUUAUUUCUGAGGCAGAGAUUUGGGGCCAGAUCCGCAGCUGAUGUAAAAUGACAGAUCCAAUUGACUUCAGGCUGAGGAUCUGCCCAUUGAGCCUUAGGUACUGUCCACCUUUUCCUCCUUGUCUUUUCCCUCCUUUGAAUCUUUAGCGGACUCUCUCACUAGAAAAAAGAGCAUUGCUUCAAUUUUUCCUUCAGCUUGUUGGGCAUGCAUCCAGGGGCUCCCAAAGCAGCUCUCAACACCAUGGAUCAGCCUGCAAAGGGCAUUACAAAAGAGAUGUGUAUCCUGUAUUGCUCCACCUUCAAUGCAAGAUAGGCCCGAGGAAUGGGGUCCUGCAAUGGAAGACUUAAAUUGGAUCUUCGGUGUAUGUACUGCAAUAGCAACAUGGUAUGAGACUACCCCUGCUUUUUAUUUAAGAUGUCUUAUAACCAAAACUUUAAAAAGCAACAAAGAGUCCUGUGGCACCUUAUAGACUAAC